UGGAAAGACAUGGAAGAUCAACAAUGCUGUUUGCCUGUGUAUCAAUAUGACAACAGCUAACUCUUAUACCGUACUUACCACGUGCCAGGAACUGUUCUUCCCAUGUGUUCUUCGCAUUUAAUCCUCACAACCACCCCACGAGGUAGGUGCUAUUAUUAUCUCUAUUUCACAAAUAAGCGAAGUAAAGAAAGUUCAGACAGGACACUCAAGGUCACAGAGACAGAAAUUGGCAGAACCAGGAUUCAAACUCAAGCUGUCUGGCUCACGGGCCACACUCUUACCAUCGAGCCCUGCCGCCUGCCAAUAUGAGAUAGAUCUCGUCAAAGACGGAGUCUUGCCCUGAAGCGAGUGCCUAUGAUUUACUCUAGGAGAUUUAGCAAAAAGCUGUGUGUGCAAGAACCUAGAACAGCCAGAGGCUACCGGCUUAGCUAACUGAUGAUGAUCAAUCAAUCUUUUCUCCCUCAAAUAGAUGGAAUUAGUUAGCAUGAUCUUGGCUAUAAGUCACUGUUAAUCCAACUCAAAGUGUUUUCAACAGGCACGACUUUGAUGAUUAUCAUCCACCCAGGAGUUCAGGUAGCUGCAAUGUGGUUAAUCCAGCGGCUCAGGAACAUUAUUAAGGAACGUGGCUCUUUCCCACUUCUGUUCUGUGAUCUUUGGGGCACCAGCUUCACCCACAGGCCAACACCCUCUUGACAGCAAGAUGGCUGCCCAUGGUUCCAGGCAGUUACAGGUGUGAAAAACGUAUGCGUAAAUGGAGAGACGAGAUAGCACGGGUUGUCCUUACUUGUUAUUCUCUUAGGAGCCUGAAAACAUUCUCCAGAAUCUCUUAGAAGACCUCCCACCAGGUCUGAUUGGCCACCAUGGGGCCACACGUUCCUUCCUAGACCAGUCACUGGCAGGAUGAAUGGCCGGCUGGAGCGGGGUGUGCUCAUGAUGAAGCUUCCUGAGUGACCUUUCUGAUGAAGGAAUAUGACUAAGUCAGCUCCUAAAUCAGCCGUCUGCCCGAGCUCGACUGCAGUAUUGAUUUCCUAUUCCAGGGCUGGAAAACGGACAUUUAUUUUGAAAUAUGUUCUGUAAUGAAUCUGUGAUUUGGGAAGGGUGCUUCUGCAAUUAUCACUGCUGAACUUGAUGUGACUCCCAGCAACAGAGAAAGUCACUGGCUGUCACUGGGUUUACUUUGGCCCGUUAUUACUAAGAGGAAAGACCCCAGGCUGAGCAGUUGGGGAAGAUGACACACCAGGUACUUCCCACAGCAGCAAUGACUCUGCUCCUCGUGGGAAAUGGCACUCCGAACACCCCGACUGCAAGAUAUAUUACAGGGAAUUUUCUCUACCUAAAAAGCCCUGGCCUGGGGGGAAGGAUGUGUGGGGUCUAGUCACGGUCACUGACCAGUGACAACACCUCGGACAGUUCACUGCCUCUUCAAGGGCCGCAGAGCUCCCUGCUGAGGGACGGGGGAGGUGACCCAGCUUCAGUGGCCUCAGUGGCAGGCGGAACAAUAAUCCUGCAAGAUGUCCGCAUCCACACCCCCGAGACCUAUGCACGUUCUAGGUGACGCGGCAAAAGGGAGCCUGAAUUUCUCCAUCUGCAACACGGGGGGAAUUAUACAGCCUCUCGGAAGAGAACGGAGAUUGUGGAAAUGAAACCGCUGUGCAAGGCAGCCCAGAAAGCACCCUACAAAUACAAGCUGGAGCGAUGACAUCCCUUGUCUGGGGAGAUGACAUCGUUGUGGCCAGGGCCUUUGCAUUUGCUCUCUCCUCUGCCUGGACAUCCUUCCUUUGGUCUUCUUGUGGAAAGUUCCUCCUCAUCAGCCCAGCUCAUAUAUCGCUUCCUGAAAAAUGUCUUCUUCGACACACUCCCCCACAAAAUGUCACCUUCACCUUCUGUUCCCAUGGUGGAUGCUGGAAUGUGCGGCCCAGAGCACGCUCAGGACUUACUUCUUCGCCUCCUAGGAGAGCUGCCCCCAGAAAGCCCUCCGCUGCCAGCUCCCUGCAGAGAUUUCCCCAUCUGAACACAGGUGCCUCACCACAGUCACAGCCCUUCCUGGCGCCACAUCCAGGGACCGACUGGCACGGGGUGGGAGUAGAAAAGCCCAGCCCCUUGCCCCAUCUUCAGAGCUCCCCACAGGUGUGCUGAGGCCGCCAUGGAGACGGCAUUGCAUCUGCCCUUCUCCCUGCACCCGGCCCUGCCCGCGUCCCUCCUUCGCACAGGUGUGGAUUCCAAGAGCCCUCUCCAGUCACCCCCUGCAUGCUAACUAGCCUCUCAGAGUGUUUCCUGGGGACCCUACUUGUCACAGCCCUGCAUCCUCUGUGACAUUGCUCACUCCAUUGCUUUCAUAGCAUGGACUGCAUCCUGAUACUAUAUUGUUCAUUUAUUGCCUUAUACAUUUGCCAUCUGACUUCCUCCAUCUGCUCUGGGAGGGAGGGACCCUCCUGAUCUUAUUUGCUCAGUGCCUGGCACAUGGCAGGUGUUCAGUGAGUAGCACUGGAAUGUACACCUGUCAUCACCCGUCUGCAGCUACAAAGGAAGCAGCCUGGGACCAGGUGAGGAGAUGACCACAGUGAGAGCACUGUCCAGAUGGAGGCUCAGCAAUAGGAAUCUUUAUCUGGGCACAUUUUCUACUUAAAAAAUGUUUAUAAAGUAAUGUAUUCAUUCUAGGAAGUUCAGAUAUAUUCUU